UGGGGGAUAUUGCACAAUGGGCGAAAGCCUGAUGCAGCGACGCCGCGUGGGGGAUGAAGGCUUUCGGGUUGUAAACCUCUUUCGCUAUCGAACAAGGCCCGCUUAGGGUGGGUUGAGGGUAGGUGGAGAAGAAGCGCCGGCUAACUACGUGCCAGCAGCCGCGGUAAUACGUAGGGCGCGAGCGUUGUCCGGAAUUAUUGGGCGUAAAGGGCUUGUAGGCGGCUUGUUGCGCCUGCUGUGAAAACGCGGGGCUUAACUUCGCGCGUGCAGUGGGUACGGGCAGGCUUGAGUGUGGUAGGGGUGACUGGAAUUCCAGGUGUAGCGGUGGAAUGCGCAGAGAUCUGGAGGAGCACCGAUGGCGAAGGCAGGUCACUGGGCCAUUACUGACGCUGAGGAGCGAAAGCAUGGGUAGCGAACAGG
rnacentral:rRNA from 1 species